AAAGCACCUAAACCCAAGAACUGCUGUUUGUCAUGGCAGCAGUUGAAACGUUGAAACAGGUGCUGACAGCAAGUGGCUCUCGUCGCCUUUGGGGGCUGUGGCUGUGCCCCUCAAAGUGAAUUGGGAGGUUCUACACUC